CAAAAUGGCGUUUUGUGUCGUAACGAAAGUUAUCUUGUCCAUCUAUACAACGAAACGAUAGAAAAAGAAUAUUUCAUAGUUCGAGGUUAUUUGUUUCCUGUUUCAAGUCGAAUUAUAUAAAAAAAGAGAUAACAAUGCCCGUCCAGACGAAAUACAAUCGAUGUCAGGCCACUGUUUUUCUCCUGUCUUUAAACGUGUGAAUGUCUUCGCCAUAUCGCAUCAAGGACGGAUUGUCUCUUUCAUAGUGUUUUCGUGAGACGAAUUUCUGGAACGUUGUCUCUUUACAAUCGUGUGAAAAGAUCGAAACGGAAAUAAAAUCCUUCUCACUCCUAAAAAUCGAUUUUACUACCGUCCAUAUUGGAAAUUCCUUACACGGAGAACAAUGAAAAUCCUCAAAUAAUAUUCAAAAAGAAGCCCUUCGGAGAAAUGGCGGGUGAUUGAUGUCAAACACACACAGAUCACCCUGGGGGAUCGACGAUCCCGUUUCACCAACGACCUCGACUCAUCAAGGACAAUCCUUAUCGGAGCUAAUAGACACGAAGGAUUUUCAAGCGAACCUACAGAAAAACAAAAUCUAACGAUGAAUCGGGAAUAUCCUCGAGCAAAUGGGAGCACCCUCGUCAACCACAAUUUUCCAUCGAGUUCUUCUUACUGUCAAGGUCGAGGCAGAUUGUCACAGCGAGGAGGGCACGAUGAUUAUCGCGUAUUACGAAUCUGUCCACUAUGGAUCUGUCGACUACUGAGAAAAUCUUCUCGAAGGGAUGCCAGAUUAUUGCUCGAUUGUUGCUCGAAUUACUUCUGUUGAGCAAGAAGUUUGUCUGAAUAAUAAUGGCUGCCAAUGUUUCAAUAACAUUGCAAAUAUUAUGUUCGUGAUAUGGUAUGGACGAUUGGAUGUUUAUCUUUGAUCAUUUUGAUCGUAAUUUCGAAUACGU